rnacentral:lncRNA from 1 species
CUUUUAAAUUAGAUAAUUGUCCUAUUGACAAAGCUAGACAGUAUACAUACUUAGGAAUAAACUUCAGUACCUCUGGAAGCUUUACAGAGGCAAAACAUGAUCUAUAUAAAAGAGGACUAAAAGCUCUUCUUAAAAUUUAUAAAAUAUUUAAAGGUCAUAAACCCAAAAUUGAAACUUUACUUCAUAUAUUUGACCAACAGUAAAACAUUUUAACUUAUGGAAGUGAAAUUUGGGGGGUUUUAGAUUAAAAAAAGUUAACUGAAAAAGGAGAUAGUUAUUUUGAAAAAUUAUGUAAAGAACUGCAAACAGAAUCAGUUCAUUCAAAAAUCUGUAAAUUUUCACUGGGAGUAGGAAAGAGAAGCACAAAUAUGGCAGUGAUAGGUGAGCUAGGGAGAUAUCCUUUAUUUAUUGAAGUUAUAGUUAAUAUGUUUUCAUACUUAUCACGUUUAACAAGUACAGAGGACAAAUUAUUGUCUGCAGCUUUCCUUGUAUCAAAAUCCUUAUCAAACCAUAGUAAGAAAAGUGAGUUUAAUUCUAUGAGUUCAUUAGCAAAAUAUUUAGACAUAGAUUUAUUGCAAGUUUUUAAUAUAAAAUCAAACUUGAAAACAUUUAUUUUAAAC